rnacentral:rRNA from 1 species
AACGAACGCUGGCGGCAGGCUUAACGCAUGCAAGUCGAACGAGAUCUUCGGAUCUAGUGGCAGACGGGUGAGGAACACGUGGGAACAUCCCUUUCAGUUCGGAAUAACGUUGGGAAACUAACGCUAAUACCGGAUACGUCCUUCGGGAGAAAGAUUUAUCGCUGAAAGAUUGGCCCGCGUCUGAUUAGCUAGUUGGUGAGGUAACGGCUCACCAAGGCUACGAUCAGUAGCUGAUCUGAGAGGAUGAUCAGCCACAUUGGGACUGAGACACGGCCCAAACUCCUACGGGAGGCAGCAGUGGGGAAUAUUGGACAAUGGGAGCAAGCCUGAUCCAGCCAUGCCGCGUGAGUGAUGAAGGCCUUCGGGUUGUAAAGCUCUUUUGUCCGGGAAGAUAAUGACUGUACCGGAAGAAUGAGCCCCGGCAAACUUCGUGCCAGCCGCCGCCGUAAAAC